UGGGGCGUAGCCAAGUGGUUAAGGCAACGGGUUUUGAUCCCGUCAUUCGUAGGUUCGCCUCCUCCCGCCCCAGCCA
rnacentral:tRNA from 2 species